GGAUUUGAUCAUGAUUUUGUGUUUGUUUAAAAAAAUAAACAUAUUUUUUAUUAUAUAGACACUUUAAAUAAUAGGGUGACUCGAGAGACUUGCUUGAAGGAUUUUAUCUAUCUAACUAAAUUACUGAUCGAAAGAAGAGAAUUGAGUUGUUAAAGGAUGCAAGGCAAAAGAAAGGUAGUAGAAGGGGUAGAAAGAAUGACAGAAGAUAAGUAGUAGGGAGAGUUCGUUCUCCAGGAGUGGAAAGGACCGUAUGAGUCACACCGAAGACAUUUUCUAGAGAUAGACCAAAAAAAAAGAAAAAAGUGCUUUUCAGGUCCAACUGGCCUGUCAAGUUCACGAAUAAGAUCACGCAGGUAAAAUUAACUUCUGACUGAGAGGCGGAGCUGCUGUUGCUGCUGCUGUUACUGCGUUCCACCGAGAUGAGUGCCCACAACUGUUUAAAAGCAAGAACUUGCAUGUCCAACAAUAACGUCCCUUACAUCCCUUCCUUCCUUCCUUCCUUUCUUUUCUUUUUUUUUUUUUUAUACCUUUUAUAUACACUUACUUUUCAACUAGGGAUGUAAAUAUGUAUGCUAAGUGAACGAGUUUGUGAGAAAAUUGGAAGAAGUAGGAGAAAAGCGUGAGAACUGUGCAUCGAAGUCAUGCUACGAUGAGUCAGGCCUGAGAAAUGCUGAGAAACAGGAGGGACAACGACCAAGAGACGAUGAAGAAGACUCGUUUUGUGAAUAAAAGGGCUGCACAUAUAUACUAUCAUCAUCAUUAUCAUCAUCAUCAUCACCAUAUCCAACUUCCACAUCUUUAACACUACCUCAUCCCUCCCUCUCUCUCUUUGCAAUCUUUUCCAUAUUGCAGUUGCGAAAAUUCAUGCAUUCAUACGCUCACAUACAUACACAGGUGUACGUGUAAGUUAAAGUUAAUUACCUGAAAAGUAGGCAACUUAUUUUGUAUUAUUUUAUAAGACAAAUAUAAGAUUAUAUUGAAAUGUGACAAAAAUAAUCGAGAAAUAUAUUUAGUUGUGGUGGAAUGAUAUAUUUAAGAUUAAAUUUCUGCAUCGUUAGACCGGUUUGUGAAAUUAUCAUUGGUUAUUUAUUCCUUAUCGUUAAUUAACAUGUGAUUUCAUCGUUACGUAUAUAUAUAUAUGUAUAUAUAAUCCUUGCGACUCGUUUUCACUUUCUAUUUCACGGAAUAAAAAGGAAGUCUCCUUCUCUUAAGUUUGCACCUUAUACACGGUGGGAUCGUAUUUACAUCGACACGCGCAUGUGCCCAUGUGAAAUGUUGCGCGUGCAACAACAACAACAACAACAACGUUUAUAUCGUAAAUACACUAUAAUAGUUCCCACGUGGAUUUUUAAAAAGCCUACUAGUAAAAAAAAGCUCCCAUCGAUAAAGGGGAAAUAAAUAAUUGAAAAAAUAAUGAUGUGUAUGUUCUCGCGAUGAUAGUUCAUCGAACUCGCCAUUUUGUCGCGAAUUUCCAACAGACAGCGCUGUUGUCGCUUAGAAUAACAUGGACCGAAAUAAAAUGAGAAUCCAAUAUUUAUAGGAUUACGAUUAAUUAUUAGAUUAUUGUUAAGUAAAUUAAUUAUGAAAAGAAAUUAAUUGCAUAUACACGUGAUAGAAAAAAAAAAUGAAACACAAAUGAUGAUGAUAAUUCGAUUAAUCUCGAUUUAUUUGGACAAAACGUUUGAACUAUAUGAAACUAUGAUUGCAUUAUGAUAGGAUUUCUCACGAAAGUUUGGCGGUCAAGCAACGGGACGAAGCCGUACCAGUCGGAACCGUUCGAUGAGAUAAUCGCAAAAGGGAGUGUCUACUGAUCAUUCUAAAAAUGGGCGUUACACGAUAUAAUCUCGUGAUUUCAUCCUUAUCCGUUAUAUUAACUGACAAUGAGAAAUAAAAAAAGAAGUAGUAUAUGCAUAUAUAUAGUUUCCUUUUUUAGUAACAAAUCCCCCUUGAACUUUGUUUAAACUCUUAGGCCAAGAAGAUGUGCACCACCACCAUCACCACCACCACAUUUGGAAACUCGCCAAAAGUUUGUACUCUUGAAAUAGUACGAACGUCGAA
rnacentral:lncRNA from 1 species